UUACUGCUGUGCUUUCGUGCGCAGUUUACGCAACCUCCACAUGCUCGAACAUCUCUGACGUAGCAGGCGUAAGGUAGGACAGAGCCAUUCAUUCACUCACAACAGCAACACUCAGACAGCAGCGCCAACAUGUCGGAGAAGAAGCAGACCGUGGACCUGGGUUUACUGGAGGAGGACGAUGAGUUUGAAGAGUUCCCAGCAGAGGAUUGGACGGGGCUGGAUGAAGAUGAAGAUGCUCACGUUUGGGAAGACAACUGGGACGAUGACAACGUAGAAGAUGAUUUCUCAAAUCAGCUGAGAGCCGAGCUGGAAAAACAUGGUUACAAAAUGGAGACAUCAUAGCGGCUGACGUGGCCUCUCUGUAUACGAUGACAAUGGAUAUGGACAUUUCUAUUUGAAUAUAACCGGUAGACCCCACGUCACCGGAAGAUAUUCGACUACGUGAAUUUGUUUCUUUUUUGUAAGAAAUAUGGAUAAAAAUAAACAGUUUGGAGAUACAAGUUCA